UAUGAAUUUGGUUCUGGUUUUUAUUAUUGAGUAUAAUUAAAAUUUAUGCAUGCAAGCUAAUUUAGUGUCCCGGUAAAGCAAGUGCUUUUCUUGGGCAGUUAUUAAAAACUAAACCCGAAAAAGUAUAUAAGUUAACUUGGCUAAGUCCACUAGAAAAAUAUUUGUUAAAUAGCAUUACAUCUGCAGCAGUAAAUAAUCAACAAUAGUUAAGAGACUGAUUGUGUUAAGAUUGUUUAAGUUUGGCUCAAUAUCGUGCCAGCAGCCGCGGUUAUACGAAUAAGCUAUCAAUAUAGCAGGCGGCUUAUUGAAGAAAUUGAGUUAAGCCCAUAAGUAAUAAAAAAAUAAAAGAAUAAGGUUAAAUUUUAAAUUAUUUAGAAAUUGCUUUAUCUAGAGACUUCGUAACUUAAGGGGUAAACCUGGAUUAGAUACCCAGUUAUUCUUAAGCAUAAAAUUAUAAUGCCGGUGGAGUACGGGGGAAACUUUAAGAAACAAAGAACUUGGCGGUUGUUUAUGUCUGAUUAGGGGUGCUUGCUUAAGAAAAUCGAUGACCCACGUUAUACCUGACCCCCCCUUGAAUUAUUCAGCUACUAUAUCAUCGUCGUUAACUCCCUAUUGUGAGUUUAGGUGGGGCAAUUAUUCAGAAGAUAAGACGUCAGAUCAAGAUGGUGCCUAUGAGGGGGGCUUAAGUUGGCAGCAUUAACUUUGUAGUUAACCGUUUGGACUUUUUUCUGAAACGAGAAAAAGAAAUAGGACUUAAUAGUAAAAAAUUAAAGAAAGAAUUUUUGGAGAUAGUAUUAAACUUCGUACACAUCGCCCGUCACCUGCGAGGUUAAACUUGGAGUAAGUCGUAACAUAGUAGGCGUACCGGAAGGUGCGGCCUGGGGGGAA
rnacentral:rRNA from 1 species